AUGAAUAUAUCACUUAAGAGUAAAAUCUUUGUGUGGUAUCUUCGUCGAGGAGUCAUUCUUACGAAAGACAACCUUAUUAAGAGGAAUUGACACGGAAGUACGCAAUGUGUUUUUUGUCAUCAUGAUGAAACAAUAAAACAUUUGUUCUUCCAAUGUAAAUUAGCUCGUUCUAUAUGGUCAAUCAUCGAACUAGCUUCUGGUUUGUAUCCUCCACGUAGUCUUGCUAACAUUUUUGGCAAUUGGUUACAUGAGAUUGAUCACAUGCUCAGAAUUCUUAUCAGGGUGGGAGCACUUACCGUUCUUUGGUAG
rnacentral:rRNA from 1 species